AUGUCUUCAAGCUACGGCCCCAUCGUGCCAGCGCGCCAGAGAAGAGGUUGGAAGGAUGCACCACCAAAAGCACCAUCACGCCUUCCUCGCCAUCGACAAAGAAGGCAACAAAACUGGUGUCGCUCCUGUACAACAACCAUCCGCCCAAAUCAAAGGCCAACAAAGGAGAGCCCCCAUCGUAAGGGGUCUGGUGGAAGAAAAAUUCGGCACUGGGGCCAUACAACACAAUGGCAAUUGAACGCCGACCAAAUACAAAAUCUCACCGCUAACCGGCGAGAAGAGCAGGCCUCCAACCCGGCGACAGCCAAAUCGCUGGGAUGGGGAACGAGUUGA
rnacentral:rRNA from 1 species